GAUGAACGCUGGCGGGGUGCCUAAUACAUGCAAGUCGAGCGAACAGACGAGGAGCUUGCUCCUCUGACGUUAGCGGCGGACGGGUGAGUAACACGUGGAUAACCUACCUAUAAGACUGGGAUAACUUCGGGAAACCGGAGCUAAUACCGGAUAACAUGUUGAACCGCAUGGUUCAACAGUGAAAGACGGUUUUGCUGUCACUUAUAGAUGGAUCCGCGCCGCAUUAGCUAGUUGGUAAGGUAACGGCUUACCAAGGCAACGAUGCGUAGCCGACCUGAGAGGGUGAUCGGCCACACUGGAGCUGAGACACGGUCCAGACUCCUACGGGAGGCAGCAGUAGGGAAUCUUCCGCAAUGGGCGAAAGCCUGACGGAGCAACGCCGCGUGAGUGAAGAAGGUCUUCGGAUCGUAAAACUCUGUUAUUAGGGAAGAACAAAUGUGUAAGUAACUAUGCACGUCUUGACGGUACCUAAUCAGAAAGCCACGGCUAACUACGUG
rnacentral:rRNA from 1 species